CCCGAGCGCCAUAGCAACCUGAGGGCACCCCAGCCCGGAAGCUAAGCAGGGUUGGGCCUGGCUGCAGCUUGGAUGAGGGACUGCCUGGGGAUACCAGGGCUGGACGCUUUUGGCU
ensembl:rRNA 5S_rRNA 5S ribosomal RNA